CGUGGGGAAGUGAAUCGGUAUCACGUGAGGCCCAUAACCUCAAAAUCCGGGCUCAUCUCCCGGCCCCACAA
rnacentral:tRNA from 1 species